rnacentral:rRNA from 1 species
CCUACGGGAGGCAGCAGUGAGGAAUAUUGGUCAAUGGACGAGAGGCUGAACCAGCGAAGUAGCGUGAAGGAUGACUGCCCUAUGGGUUGUAAACUUCUUUUAUAUGGGAAUAAAAUGUUCCACGUGUGGGAUUUUGUAUGUACCAUAUGAAUAAGGAUCGGCUAACUCCGUGCCAGCAGCCGCGGUAAGCCGGAGGUUCCGAGCGUUAUCCGGAUUUAUUGGGUUUAAAGGGAGCGUAGGUGGAUUGUUAAGUAAGUUGUGAAAGUUUGCGGCUCAACCGUAAAAUUGCAGUUGAAACUGGCAGUCUUGAGUACAGUAGAGGUGGGCGGAAUUCGUGGUGUAGCGGUGAAAUGCUUAGAUAUCACGAAGAACUCCGAUUGCGAAGGCAGCUCACUGGACUGCAACUGACACUGAGGCUCGAAAGUGUGGGUAUCAAACAGGAUUAGAUACCCGUGUAGUC